UACGGGGGGAGCAAGCGUUGUUCGGAUUUACUGGGCGUAAAGGGCGCGUAGGCGGUCAGCACAAGUCAGUUGUGAAAUCUCCGGGCUUAACUCGGAAAGGUCAACUGAUACUGUGCGACUAGAGUGCAGAAGGGGCAACUGGAAUUCUCGGUGUAGCGGUGAAAUGCGUAGAUAUCUGGAGGAACACCCGUGGCGAAGGCGGCUCUCUGGGACGGUACUGACGCUGAGACGCGAAAGCGUGGGGAGCGAACAGG
rnacentral:rRNA from 1 species